rnacentral:rRNA from 1 species
AUUGAACGCUGGCGGCAGGCCUAACACAUGCAAGUCGAGCGAGCGGCGGACGGGUGAGUAAUGUCUGGGAAACUGCCUGAUGGAGGGGGAUAACUACUGGAAACGGUAGCUAAUACCGCAUACCAUCAGAUGUGCCCAGAUGGGAUUAGCUAGUAGGUGGGGUAACGGCUCACCUAGGCGACGCUCCCUAGCUGGUCUGAGAGGAUGACCAGCAAAACGGGAACGGAGACACGGUCCAGAUUCCUACGGGAGGCAGCAGUGGGGAAUAUUGUACAAUGGGCGCAAGCCGGCGGCAGCCAGGCCGCGGAGUGGAAGAAGGCCUUCGGGUUGUAAAGCACUUUCAUCGGGGAGGCGGUACCCGCAGAAGAAGCCACGGCUAACUCCGUGCCAGCAGCCGCGGUAAUAC